AUGAACGCUGGCGGCGUGCCUAAUACAUGCAAGUCGAGCGAACAGGCGAGGAGCUUGCUCCUCUGACGUUAGCGGCGGACGGGUGAGUAACACGUGGAUAACCUACCUAUAAGACUGGGAUAACUUCGGGAAACCGGAGCUAAUACCGGAUAAUAUAUUGAACCGCAUGGUUCAAUAGUGAAAGACGGUUUUGCUGUCACUUAUAGAUGGAUCCGCGCCGCAUUAGCUAGUUGGUAAGGUAACGGCUUACCAAGGCAACGAUGCGUAGCCGACCUGAGAGGGUGAUCGGCCACACUGGAACUGAGACACGGUCCAGACUCCUACGGGAGGCAGCAGUAGGGAAUCUUCCGCAAUGGGCGAAAGCCUGACGGAGCAACGCCGCGUGAGUGAUGAAGGUCUUCGGAUCGUAAAACUCUGUUAUUAGGGAAGAACAAAUGUGUAAGUAACUAUGCACGUCUUGACGGUACCUAACCAGAAAGCCACGGCUAACUACGUG
rnacentral:rRNA from 1 species